AGAGUUUGAUCCUGGCUCAGAGCGAACGCUGGCGGCAGGCUUAACACAUGCAAGUCGAGCGGGCGUAGCAAUACGUCAGCGGCAGACGGGUGAGUAACGCGUGGGAACGUACCUUUUGGUUCGGAACAACACAGGGAAACUUGUGCUAAUACCGGAUAAGCCCUUACGGGGAAAGAUUUAUCGCCGAAAGAUCGGCCCGCGUCUGAUUAGCUAGUUGGUGAGGUAACGGCUCACCAAGGCGACGAUCAGUAGCUGGUCUGAGAGGAUGAUCAGCCACAUUGGGACUGAGACACGGCCCAAACUCCUACGGGAGGCAGCAGUGGGGAAUAUUGGACAAUGGGCGCAAGCCUGAUCCAGCCAUGCCGCGUGAGUGAUGAAGGCCCUAGGGUUGUAAAGCUCUUUUGUGCGGGAAGAUAAUGACGGUACCGCAAGAAUAAGCCCCGGCUAACUUUGUGCCAGCAGCCGCGGUAAUACGAAGGGGGCUAGCGUUGCUCGGAAUCACUGGGCGUAAAGGGUGCGUAGGCGGGUCUUUAAGUCAGGGGUGAAAUCCUGGAGCUCAACUCCAGAACUGCCUUUGAUACUGAAGAUCUUGAGUUCGGGAGAGGUGAGUGGAACUGCGAGUGUAGAGGUGAAAUUCGUAGAUAUUCGCAAGAACACCAGUGGCGAAGGCGGCUCACUGGCCCGAUACUGACGCUGAGGCACGAAAGCGUGGGGAGCAAACAGGAUUAGAUACCCUGGUAGUCCAA
rnacentral:rRNA from 1 species